GAUGAACGCUGGCGGCGUGCCUAAUACAUGCAAGUCGAGCGAACAGAUGAGGAGCUUGCUCCUCUGACGUUAGCGGCGGACGGGUGAGUAACACGUGGAUAACCUACCUAUAAGACUGGGAUAACUUCGGGAAACCGGAGCUAAUACCGGAUAAUAUAUUGAACCGCAUGGUUCAAUAGUGAAAGACGGUUUUGCUGUCACUUAUAGAUGGAUCCGCGCCGCAUUAGCUAGUUGGUAAGGUAACGGCUUACCAAGGCAACGAUGCGUAGCCGACCUGAGAGGGUGAUCGGCCACACUAGAACGGAGACACGGUCCAGACUCCUACGGGAGGCAGCAGUAGGGAAUCUUCCGCAAUGGGCGAAAGCCUGACGGAGCAACGCCGCGUGAGUGAUGAAGGUCUUCGGAUCGUAAAACUCUGUUAUUAGGGAAGAACAAAUGUGUAAGUAACUAUGCACGUCUUGACGGUACCUAAUCAGAAAGCCACGGCUAACUACGUG
rnacentral:rRNA from 1 species